rnacentral:rRNA from 1 species
GAUGAACGCUGGCGGCGUGCCUAAUACAUGCAAGUCGAGCGAACAGACGAGGAGCUUGCUCCUCUGACGUUAGCGGCGGACGGGUGAGUAACACGUGGAUAACCUACCUAUAAGACUGGGAUAACUUCGGGAAACCGGAGCUAAUACCGGAUAAUAUAUUGAACCGCAUGGUUCAAUAGUGAAAGACGGUUUUGCUGUCACUUAUUGAUGGAUCCGCGCCGCAUUAGCUAGUUGGUAAGGUAACGGCUUACCAAGGCAACGAUGCGUAGCCGACCUGAGAGGGUGAUCGGCCACACUGGAACUGAGACACGGUCCAGACUCCUACGGGAGGCAGCAGUAGGGAAUCUUCCGCAAAGGGCGAAAGCCUGACGGAGCAACGCCGCGUGAGUGAUGAAGGUCUUCGGAUCGUAAAACUCUGUUAUUAGGGAAGAACAAAUGUGUAAGUAACUAUGCACGUCUUGACGGUACCUAAUCAGAAAGCCACGGCUAACUACGUG